GAUGAACGCUGGCGGCGUGCUUAACACAUGCAAGUCGAACGGUGAACGAGGGAGCUUGCUCCCUCCGGAUCAGUGGCGAACGGGUGAGUAACACGUGAGCAAUCUGCCACGACCUCUGGGAUAAGCGCUGGCAACGGCGUCUAAUACCGGAUACGACGCGCGAAGGCAUCUCCUGCGCGUGGAAAGCAUUUCGGUGCGGGAUGAGCUCGCGGCCUAUCAGCUAGUUGGUGAGGUAACGGCACACAAAGGCGACGACGGGUAGCCGGCCUGAGAGGGUGACCGGCCACACUGGGACUGAGACACGGCCCAGACUCCUACGGGAGGCAGCAGUGGGGAAUAUUGCACAAUGGGCGCAAGCCUGAUGCAGCAACGCCGCGUGAGGGACGACGGCCUUCGGGUUGUAAACCUCUUUUAGUAGGGAAGAAGCGAAAGUGACGGUACCUGCAGAAAAAGCACCGGCUAACUACGUGCCAGCCGCCGCAGUAAAAC
rnacentral:rRNA from 1 species